rnacentral:rRNA from 1 species
AGAGUUUGAUCCUGGCUCAGAACGAACGCUAGCGGCGCGCCUAACACAUGCAAGUCGAGCGAGAAAGGGGCAACCUGAGUAAAGCGGCGCACGGGUGAGUAACACGUGGGUAACGUACCCUCGGGUGGGGAAUAACGGGCCGAAAGGCUCGCUAAUACCGCAUCAGACCACAACCCUUGCGGGGGAAGGGGUCAAGGGAGGCUGUCGCAGGGCAGUUUCCGCCUGAGGAUCGGCUCGCGGACCAUUAGCUAGAUGGCGGGGUAAUGGCCCACCAUGGCGACGAUGGUUAGCUGGUCUGAGAGGACGACCAGCCACACUGGAACUGAAACACGGUCCAGACUCCUACGGGAGGCAGCAGUGGGGAAUAUUGCGCAAUGGGCGAAAGCCUGACGCAGCGACGCCGCGUGAGUGAAGAAGGCCUUCGGGUUGUAAAGCUCUGUCAGAGGGAAAGAAUACUCCUGGUAACCCCAGUAGUUGACGGUACCCUUGAAGGAAGCACUGGCUAACUUCGUGCCAGCAGCCGCGGUAA